AGCUUAUGCCAAGACACGUGGAAAGAAAGAUGAAAUGGAAGGUGUAACUGAAGGUCCAUCUGAUCAUCCAACUGAACUGAGCAAGGACCUGUUGGAAAUAAAUCCUUUACGUGGGAAAAGCUUCUGGAAGCCUGCACUGCCAACCUCCUGGAAAAUGAAGAGAGCUUGUUUUUGGAAAUACUGCAUUGAGCGCAAGUAGUGUUUAACCUUCAAGUCGACUGGCCAUUUUGAUCCCCAAGAUAUUUGAAGCUGACAAAGAAAUCUUCAAACCUUGAAGACUUUUCUACACAAGUGAUUGAAGAACAAUUAAUAGAGUAACUAUCUGACCAUAUUUGCCUUGCGUAUAAUAGGUAUUUAA